AGUGAACGCUGGCGGUAGGCCUAACACAUGCAAGUCGAACGGCAGCACAGUAAGAGCUUGCUCUUACGGGUGGCGAGUGGCGGACGGGUGAGGAAUACAUCGGAAUCUACUUUUUCGUGGGGGAUAACGUAGGGAAACUUACGCUAAUACCGCAUACGACCUACGGGUGAAAGCAGGGGAUCUUCGGACCUUGCGCGAUUGAAUGAGCCGAUGUCGGAUUAGCUAGUUGGCGGGGUAAAGGCCCACCAAGGCGACGAUCCGUAGCUGGUCUGAGAGGAUGAUCAGCCACACUGGAACUGAGACACGGUCCAGACUCCUACGGGAGGCAGCAGUGGGGAAUAGUGGACAAUGGGCGCAAGCCUGAUCCAGCCAUACCGCGUGGGUGAAGAAGGCCUUCGGGUUGUAAAGCCCUUUUGUUGGGAGAGAAAAGCAGCAGGUUAAUACCCCGCUGUUCUGACGGUACCCAAAGAAUAAGCACCGGCUAACUUCGUG
rnacentral:rRNA from 1 species